rnacentral:rRNA from 1 species
UGCAGAGGGUGCAAGCGUUAAUCGGAGUUACUGGGCGUAAAGGGCGCGUAGGUGGUUGUUUAAGUGAGAUGUGAAAUCCCUGGGCUUAACCUAGGAACUGCAUCUCAUACUGGAUAACUUGAGUAUUGUAGAGGGUAGUGGAAUUUCCGGUGUAGCGGUGAAAUGCGUAGAGAUCGGAAGGAACAGCAGUGGCGAAGGCGGCUACCUGGACAAAUACUGACACUGAGGCGCGAGAGCGUGGGGAGCAAACAGG